AAAGAAUAAAAUACAAUUUGUGGAAUUUAAGAAUUUAAAUUCAAAUGUGUUUCUAAUACUGAACCUAAAAUAUGAUUUACAAACUACAAAAUGUUCUACACAUCACUCAGACUGACGUUAGAGGGAAAUGUAACGUUAAUGUAUUCUCUCUGAGUCGUCAUCACAGACGUUUACAUUAUGUUGCUCUAAAAUGUUGCACUUUUGAUGUUUCAAGAUGGCUCAUCAUAUGAGUUGAGGUAUGUUUUAUGUUUGUUCAAAACUAUACUCCUAAUAAAAGAUAAUCUACUUUACAUA